rnacentral:rRNA from 1 species
UACGUAGGGGGCAAGCGUUGUCCGGAAUCAUUGGGCGUAAAGAGCGUGUAGGCGGCCCGGUAAGUCCGCCGUGAAAGUCCAGGGCUCAACCCUGGAAUGCCGGGUGGAAACUGCCCGGGCUGGAGUCCGGAAGAGGCGAGUGGAAUUCCUGGUGUAGCGGUGAAAUGCGCAGAUAUCAGGAGGAACACCGGUGGCGAAGGCGGGUCUCUGGGCAGUAACUGACGCUGAGGAGCGAAAGCGUGGGGAGCGAACAGG